GAUGAACGCUGGCGGCGUGCCUAAUACAUGCAAGUCGAGCGAACAGACGAGGAGCUUGCUCCUCUGAUGUUAGCGGCGGACGGGUGAGUAACACGUGGAUAACCUACCUAUAAGACUGGGAUAACUUCGGGAAACCGGAGCUAAUACCGGAUAAUAUAUUGAACCGCAUGGUUCAAUAGUGAAAGACGGUUUUGCUGUCACUUAUAGAUGUAUCCUCGCCGCAUUAGCUAGUUGGUAAGGUAACGGCUUACCAAGGCAACGAUGCAUAGCCGACCUGAUAGGGUGAUCGGCAACACUAGAACUGAGACACGGUCCAGACACAUACGGGAGGCAGCAGUAGGGAAUCUUGCGCAAUGUGUGAAAGCCUGACGGAGAAACGCCGCGUGAGUGAUGAAGGUGUUCGGAUCGGAAAACUCUGUGAUUAUGGAAGAACAGAUGUGUAAGUAACUGUGCACAUCUUGACGGUACCUAAGCAGAAAGCCACGGCUAACUACGUG
rnacentral:rRNA from 1 species